AAGACUAUAGACCUGCGGAGUACCUGCGGAAGGAUCAUUACCGAGUUUUCAACUCCCUAACCCUUCUGUGAACCUACCUAUCGUUGCUUCGGCGGACUCGCCCCAGCCCGGACGCGGACUGGACCAGCGGCCCGCCGGGGACCUCAAACUCUUGUAUUCCAGCAUCUUCUGAAUACGCCGCAAGGCAAAACAAAUGAAUCAAAACUUUUAGCAAUGGAUCUCUAGAUCGGAAGAGCACAC
rnacentral:misc_RNA from 1 species